ACCACCCCAGGUCAAGUGGGAUUACCCACUAUGUUUAAGCAUAUCAAUAAAUGGUGGAAAAGAAAUUUACCAAGAUUCACCUUGUAGUGGCAAGCAAACUAAGAAGAGCCUAGCUUGAGAAUUGGGCACCCCUAGCAUUCGAAUUGUAGUCUAGAGAAGCAUCUUUAAUGGCAGACCAGGCCUAAGUCCCCUGAAAAGGGGGCACCAAAAAAGGUAAGAGCCCUAUUGUGCCUGGACCAUGUCCCACAAUGAGGUGUAGUUUGUGAGUCAAGUUGUUUGGGAAUGUAACCCAAAUCGAGCAAGUAAAUUCUAUCUAAGGCUAAAUGCAGGUGAGUGACUGAUAGCAAAAAGGUACCAUAGAGGAAAGAUGAAAAGGUCUUUGAAAGAGAUUCAAAUAGUGCUUGAAAUUGUUAUGAGGGAAGUAAAUGGGGGCUAGCUAUGCACCUUGGUUAGACAUAGAGUGACGACAGUCGGUUUAUAGAUUGGCUCGAAGCAUGGACUGAUGUGGGUCAUGGUGGCGGCCUAAGCUUGGGCUUUCGAUAUGCCUAUGGAGAUGUCAUUUUUGUAAUUAUGGAAUGCAACACAAGUCAUCUCAGUGUGCCUUGGCACUUACAUGCUCUCGACAUUGGCCUAUAGGCUAUUCAUCCAGCUUAUCUUGAAACAUGAACCAAGGAGUUUGACAUGUGUGCAAGUCAACAAGCUAAAAAACCCAUAAGGUGCAAGGAAGCUAAUUGGUGAGAUCCCUCAUGGGUGCACCACUGACUGACCUUGAUCUUCUGAGAAGGGUUCGAGUGUAAGCAUGCCUGUUGGGACCGAAAAGAUGGUGAACUAUGCUUGAGUAGGGUAAAGCUAGAGGAAACUCUGAUGGAGGCCUAUAGUGAUAUUAACAUGCAAAUCAUUUGUCUGACUUGGGUUUAGGGGUGAAAGACUAAUCGAACCAUCUAGUAGCUAGUUCCCUCUGAAGUUUCCUUCAAGAUAGCUGGAGCCCUUAGCAAGUUCUAUUGGGUCAAGCCAAUGAUUAGAGGCAUCAAGGGUGCAAUGCCUUCAACCUACUCUCAAACUUUAAAUAGGUAGGAUGGUGAAGCUACUUCAUUGAGCCGUGCCAUAGAAUUGAGAGCUCUAAGUGGACCAUUUUUGGUAAGCAAAACUGGCAAUAAGGGAUGAACUGGAAGCUGAGUUAUGGUGCCCAACUGUGUGAUAACCUAGAACCCAUAAAGGGUGAUGGUCGAUUAAGACAGUAGCAUAAGGGUCAUGAAAGUUGAAAUCCUCUGAGUGUGUAACAACUUACCUAUCAAAUCAACUAGCCUAAAAAAUGGAUGGCAUUUAAAUGUGUGACCUAUACACAACUAUCAGGGCAAGGGCAAGGGCAAAGGCCGGGCCCCAAUGAGUAGAAAGGCAUGGUGCUCGCUGUAAAACCUGGGGCAUGAGCCCCGUGGAGUAGCCUCGUGUAGAUCUUAGUGGUAGUAGCAAAUAUUCAAAUGAGAACAUUGAAUGCUAAAAAGGGGAAAAGUUCCAUGUGAAUUGCACUUGCACAUGGGUUAGUCGAUCCUAAGAGAUGGGGAAAGCACAUUUGAUAGUGUGUCCAAUGUGAGCUUUAAAAGGAAAUCGAGUUAAAAUUCCUGAACCAGGAUGCAUAGGCUGACGGCAAUAUUAGGUAGUCUAAAGGUGUUGAAAGGGGCCUUAGGAAGAGUUAUCUUUUCUAUCUAUGGCCUACCCACCCUAGGAAUGGCUCAACUUAAGGUAGGGUCCAGCAAUCAAAAGAGCAUCACAUGUCACCCUUGAAAAUCUGGAGGACCGAGUGCUCUCCAUGCUCAGUCAUAUUCAUAAUUGCAUCACUCUUUAAGGAGAAUAGCCUCUAGUCAAUGGAACAAUGUAGGCACGGGAAAUCGGCAAAAUGGAUCCAUAACCUCAAGAAAAGGAUUGGCUUUAAGGGCCAGGCACGGGGUCCUAAUCCCAAACUCAUCGGCUGUCGAUGCACUACUCGAGCUGCUCUCUUGGCAACAGUGUGUACCGAUCAAGGAUGGACUUGGAAAGGUUUCCUUGAGGGCUUUCCCUAGGCAAUGAAUAGUCGACUCAGAAUUGAUAUGGAUAAGGGGAAUGUAACUAUUUAAUUAAAACAAAGCAUUACAACGGUCGCUACGAAUACUCAUGCAAUGUGAUUUCUACCCAAUGCUCUAAAUGUCAAAGUGAAAAACUCAACCAAGUGAAGGUAAAUGACAGGACUAACUAUGACUUUCUUAUGGUAGCCAAAUGCCUCGUCAUCUAAUUAGUGAGCACAUGAAUGGAUUAACACAAUUCCCAUUGUCCUUGUCUACUAUCCAAUGAAACCACAAUCAAAGGAAUGGGCUUGGUAGAAUCAGUAGGGAAAGAAGACCCUAUUCAGCUUGACUCUAGUCCAACCUUUUGAAAUGAAUUGAGAGGUGUAGGAUAAGUGGAAGCCUUAAGUCAAAAUUGAAAUACCAUAACUUUUAACAUUAUUUUACUUAUUCCAUGAAUCAAAGGCAGGGCAAAACCCCUUCUAUUUGGCCUAAGACUAACCUUGAUCGAUUGAUUAUGGUAAAAGACAUUGUCAGGUGGGGAGUUUGGCUAGGGUAGCACAUCUAUUAAAAGAUAAUGCAGGUGUCCUAAGAUGAGCUCAACGAGAAUAGAAAUCUCAUAUGGAACAAAAGGAUAAAAGCUCGUUUGAUUUUGAUUUCCAGUAUGAAUAAACUAUGAAAGUGUGGCCUGUUAAUCUCAUAGACCUUCAGAAUUUGAAGCUAGAGUUGUCAAAAAAGUUAUUAGAAGGAUAACUGGCUUAUGGUAGACAAGUGUUCAUAGUGAUGUUGCUUUUUUAUCCUUCAAUGUUGGCUUUUCCUAUCAUUGUGAAGCAAAAUUCACCAAGUGUUGGAUUGUUCACCCACCAAUAAGGAAUGUGAGCUACGUUUACACCGUAAUGAGAUAGGUUAGUUUUACCAUACUAAUGGCAGUGUCACAAUAAUAAUUCAACCUAAUAUGAGAAGAACUGUUGAUUCACGCAUUUGGUUGUCCCACUUGGUUGAAAAGCUAGUGGCAUGAAGCUACCAUUUGCUUGAUUAUGAAUGAAUGCCUCUACAUUAGAAUCUAGGUUAGAAGGGACACAUGCAUCUAUCACCCAACUAUCGACUAGUAGUAGGGGCCUAUGCCUUGAAGGGCACAUGUCAUAGGUGUAGCACCCAUAGCAAACAAGCCAUACAAGCUUCCUUAGAGCUUAAUUCCCAUCGAG
rnacentral:rRNA from 1 species